CAAGGAUGCAUGCUGUUCCCCAAUGGUUCUAUGAAUGCUGCUGAAUACCCCCAAAGCCCCACUGAGGAGGGUCCCUGUGAUGUGGGGCCAUGGCUUCACCUCCUGUGCUCCUGAGCACUUUCUGCUGCUGGCUUUGCUCCUCUACCUGCUGUUUAUAGACCCUAUCUGCAGUGCUACAACCAGAUGUGUCUUAGGAUGCAAUCAAAUUCAAGACCUGCUCAGCUGAAAACUAGGCCUCAAGAAGAAGCUUUGAAUGUGGUGACAGCACAACAGCAGUGAGAGAAGAUAAGACAAGUACCUCCAAGAUGUAAUAAAUACUACUGGUAUUUCCUAUUGUUCAUCUGAACCUCCACUCCUGAGAACUUGAGUUAAAUCCUAAAUUUUCCUUUUAUUUUUAGGCAGAAUAUCCAGCAAGUUAAAAAAACAGCGUCACAAGGAGGUCCUAAGAUGGGGCUUGCUCCAGUUUUCCUGCUGAGCAUGUGUUUAGGAAUUGCUGCUAAAAAAAAGUCAGAGAGGAUGGUAGUUGCUGUGCUGUCACAUGGCCUGAUACAGCACAGAAUCUGCUUAGCAUUCUUGAAGGGAAAUUAUCCAGUGCUGCAACUCACAAUUUAUAAUUGGUUGCAUAUUAAUAGCUAAAAAAGGCAAUAAAAUCCACUGUG